rnacentral:rRNA from 1 species
UCCCUAUCUGUUGCGGGCGUGGGAAGUUUGCGAGGACCUGACCUUAGUACGAGAGGACCGGGUUGGACUGACCGCUGGUGUACCGGUUGUGAUGCCAAUUGCAUUGCCGGGUAGCUACGUCGGGAAGAGAUAAGCGCUGAAAGCAUCUAAGUGCGAAACUCCCCUCAAGAUGAGACUUCCAAAUAGGGCCCUCAGAGACGAUGAGGUCGAUAGGCUGCAGGUGUAAAGUCAGUGAUGGCAUAGCUGAGCAGUACUAAUUGCCCAAAAGCUUACGCU